rnacentral:tmRNA from 1 species
GCCCUUCCCUCCGGGCGAGAACGCCUUAUAUUGAGCGGGCCGGUUCGCCGGCUAUGGCAAUAAACGGUCGUCGUAAUAAACCAUUCGGACCCGGGGGCGGUACCCGGCGCCUCCACCCGAGCCCAGCACCGGCCGUGCAUCACGGUCGGGCGGCUGGGCUCCGGCGGGGGCGAAACAGGAUCGACGAGGGCGUAAAGGACGUGCUUUUGCCCGGCAUGGUUCCGCCGUUAUCGGGCCACUGCAAUAGUUGCCAACGACAACUAUGCUCCGGUUGCUCAGGCCGCGUGAGCGGUUUGAAAGACCGAUCUAAGCCCUGACGGGUAGCACCGGCAGGCGGGGUUCGGAGGCACCUGGCAACAGAAGCCUCCACU